rnacentral:rRNA from 1 species
GACAGAGGGUGCAAACGUUGUUCGGAAUUACUGGGCGUAAAGGGCGCGUAGGCGGCCUUCUAAGUCGAACGUGAAAUCCCCGGGCUCAACCCGGGAACUGCGUCCGAUACUGGAAGGCUUGAAUCCGGGAGAGGGAUGCGGAAUUCCAGGUGUAGCGGUGAAAUGCGUAGAUAUCUGGAGGAACACCGGUGGCGAAGGCGGCAUCCUGGACCGGCAUUGACGCUGAGGCGCGAAAGCCAGGGGAGCGAACGGG